CUUCACACAGGGAGGUCGGGUUGUUCGGUAGUUUCAUUCGAAUAAACUAAGGGAAUGAAACUACCGAACAAUCAGAGGAAUACAAUUCUUUUUUCAAUACACAGAAAAUACAGCAGAUACACGGAUGCAGCUUUAUACAGUAUUUUUGUAGGGUCGCCUGGUGCAAUCCGCUACACUGCUCCCCCUUGCCCACAAGCCGGCAUACACAGUCUGAUCCAACACGGAUCAGCUUGGGGAUGUCCGGGGAGGCUCACGGAUCAUUUCUCUAGGUCAGUUUGUCGA